UCUAACUUUACCCUCCUAAAAUAAAACGCUAAGAUCUCCGCUUUCACUCAACUAUCUUUUACUGCUGCGCAACUCUCUCCUCUCCAACGACAUUUUUCUUUUUCUUCAUCAACAGUUCAGUUUUCUCUUCUUUUUCACAUAAAUUUCACCGAAUUAUCGACAUUGAAAGGAUGUUCGCCAUUCACAAUUAUAGUAGAAAAAAAUGCAAUGUGGAUGAUGCAUUUCAAACGAAUGAGGAUGAGAGAUAUAUUUCAUCGAUUGACUCCGAAGAGGCACAACUUCAAAUGCUAACAAUAUAGGAGAAAAUAUGGAAGACCAAAGGAAUACUUAUUGGAUGGAGCUUCGUGAUAUAAUUGCUAAUGCUUGAUGUUUGUAUUACUUGAAUAUUUCCACUUUUGUAUUAGUGAAAUGUUCUCUAUCAUUUUAACAUUUCUAUUUGUAUCAAACCUUUUAUUUUUUAAAUAUGAAUAUAUAUUAUUGUCCUU